rnacentral:rRNA from 1 species
CAGUAGCCGCGGUAAUACGUAGGGUGCAAGCGUUAAUCGGAAUUACUGGGCGUAAAGCGUGCGCAGGCGGUUUGUUAAGACAGAUGUGAAAUCCCCGGGCUCAACCUGGGAACUGCAUUUGUGACUGGCAAGCUAGAGUCUGGCAGAGGGGGGUGGAAUUCCGCGUGUAGCAGUGAAAUGCGUAGAUAUCGGAAGGAACACCUGUGGCGAAAGCGGCUCACUGGACCAUUACUGACGCUGAGGCGCGAAAGCUAGGGGAGUAAACAGGAUUAGAUACCCCAGUAGUCCCUGUCUCUUAUAC